GUCUACGGCCAUGACGCCCUGAACAAGCCCGAUCGCGGCUGAUCUCGGAAGCAAAGCAGGGUCGGGCCUGGUUAGUCCUUGGAUGGGAGACCACCUAGGAAGACUAGGUGCUCUAGGUG
rnacentral:rRNA from 1 species